rnacentral:rRNA from 1 species
GAAUAUUGCACAAUGGGCGAAAGCCUGAUGACAGCGACAGCCGCGUGAGGAUGAAGGCUUCGGUUGUAAACCGUCUUUCAGGAGGGACGAAAAUGACGGUACCUCCAGAAGAAGCCCCGGCCAACUACGUGCCAGCAGCCGCGGUAAUACGUAGGGCGCAAGCGUUGUCCGGAUUUAUUGGGCGUAAAGRGCUCGUAGGCGGUUCAACAAGUCGGUCGUGAAAACCCGAGGGCUCAACCCCGGGACGCCGGUCGAAUACUGUUGUGAGCUUGGGUCCGGUAGAGGUGAGUGGAAUUCUCGGUGUAGCGGUGAAAUGCGCAGAUAUCGAGAGGAACACCAGUAGCGAAGGCGGUUCUCUGGGCCGGUACCGACGCUGAGGAGCGAAAGCGUGGGGAGCAAACAGGAUUAGAUACCCUGGUAGUCCAYGCUGUAAACGAUGDACACUAGGUGUGGCGGAUUUAUUGACGUCUGCUGUGCCGUAAGUAACGCAUUAAGUGUUCCGC